ACAGUCCUAGGGUGUACGCCAGUCGACACGUCCUUGAGCCGAUAACUGUGUACCAGGCAGUGCUUUGUGGAUCUUGUUGAGCAUUACCGCACGUCGGGAAGCCUGAUAGACCACUGGCACCGCCACCUUGAACCAUUGGGUUCAAGGCCCGCUCGACAGCGGCACCCCGGGGCGCUC
rnacentral:other from 1 species